AUAAUGGAGAGUUUGAUCCUGGCUCAGGACGAACGCUGACGGCGUGGAUUAGGCAUGCAAGUCGAACGAGAAAUUCCCCGCUUGCGGGGGAAAGUACAGUGGCGAACGGGUGAGUAACGCGUAGGUAUCUGCCUCAUAGACUGGGAUAACCCCGGGAAACCGGGGGUAAUACCGGAUAUGUUUUUCGAAACAAAGGUGGCCUCUGUUUACAAGCUGCCGCUAUGAGAUGAGCCUGCGUCAUAUUAGCUUGUUGGUAGGGUAAUGGCCUACCAAGGCGAUGAUGUGUAGCCGA
rnacentral:rRNA from 1 species